CGGGUGAGUAACGCGUAGGUAACCUGCCUGGUAGCGGGGGGUAACUAUUGGAAACGAUAGCUAAUACCGCACGACAACAGUUAUUGCAUGAUAACUGUUUAAAAGGGGCAAUUGCUCCACUACCAGAUGGACCUGCGUUGUAUUAGCUAGUUGGUGAGGUAACGGCCCACCAAGGCGACGAUACAUAGCCGACCUGAGAGGGUGAUCGGCCACACUGGGACUGAGACACGGCCCAG
rnacentral:rRNA from 1 species